UCUCCAUUGCUUUUCCAUUCAUUCUCGCUCCGCCAUGCCCUGCUCUGAAGAGACUGCUAUUGUGUCCCCCAGCAAGCGGGCCCCGCUCGCGGAGGAGGGCGGCAUGCAGCUCCACUUUGCGGGGCUCUCAGAGCACGUCACGGCCCCGACCCCGACCCAGGGGUCCGUACGGGUUGCGGGCUAUGACCUGUACAGUGCCUAUGAUUACACAAUACCAUCUAUGGAGAAAGGGGUUGUGAAGACAGACAUUCAGAUAGCUCUUCCUUCUGGGUUUUACGGAAGAGUAGCUCCACGUUCUGGCUUGGCUGCCAAACAUUUUAUAGAUAUAGGAGCUGGUGUCAUAGAUGAAGAUUAUAGAGGAAAUGUUGGUGUUGUGCUGUCUAAUUUUGGCAAAGAGAAGUUUGAAGUCAAAAAAGGUGAUCGGAUUGCGCAGCUCAUUUGUGAACGGAUUUUUUAUCCAGAAACAGAAGAAGUUCAAGUUUUGGAUGACACUGACAGGAGUUCAGGAGGUUUUGGUUCUACUGGAAAAAAUUAAAAUUUAUGCUGAGAAUAGAAAAUGAGAAGUUGUACCCUUUUCUUCAAAUUAAAGAGUUUUUGCUU